AAGCAUCCGUAGCCGGUCCUACAAGUCUUCCGUUAAAUCCAGCUGCUUAACAGAUGGGCCGCGGGAGAUACUACAGGGCUAGGAGGCGGGAGAGGCAAGCGGUACUUUAUGGGUAGGGGUAAAAUCCGCUGAUCCAUAGAAGACCACCAGUGGCGAAGGCGGCUUGCCAGAACGCGCUCGACGGUGAGGGAUGAAAGCUGGGGGAGCAAACCGG
rnacentral:rRNA from 1 species